rnacentral:rRNA from 1 species
UACGACUACAUAUCAGGCAUAUCAAUAAGCGGAGGAAAAGAAACUAACAAGGAUUCCCUUAGUAACGGCGAGUGAAGCGGGAAGAGCUCAAAUUUGAAAUCUUCAAGGUUCUACCUUGACGAAUUGUAGUUUAUAAGAAGUGUUUUCUGUUGAAGUUGGAGUGGCAAAAGUUCUUUGGAAUAGGACAUCAUAGAGGGUGAGAAUCCCGUAUUUGACCAUUAUUUCCAGCUGUGUGAUACACUUUCAAAGAGUCGGAUUGUUUGGGAAUGCAGUCCAAAAUGGGUGGUAAAUUUCAUCUAAAGCUAAAUAUUGGCGAGAGACCGAUAGCGAACAAGUACCGUGAGGGAAAGAUGGAAAGAACUUUGAAAAGAGAGUUAAACAGUACGUGAAAUUGUCAAAAGGGAAGCGUUUGACACCAGUGUUGUUUUCUCGAAAAUCAAUUAAAAAUGAUGGGAUUUUGUGUUGUAUUGACUUUAUCAGCUUUCUGCACUUUUUUCUUAUCUUUUUUAAUGCACUUUUCGUUUAACAAGUCAACAUCAAUUUCUUUUGUUGUAAAAGAGUCAUUGGAAGGUGGCUUUUUCUUCGGAAAAAGUGUUUAUAGCCUUUGGCUUCUGCAAUCGGAGAGAUUGAGGUCUGCAGCGUAGAUCCUUCGGGGUUAGAUACAUUUGUGCUAAGCUAUAGCCUUUCAUAGACAACUUGUUGACUAUGAUCAGUCAUGUAGCUUACUCGCUUAUGCUAUUUUACCUACGCUUAGGAUGUUGAAUCUGUGCGAGACUAC